AACAGUUCUAAACUUUGUUGUUGAUUUUAAUUGCUGUGUCACUAAAUCUUUUUAGUUAAUAAUCAGUAAUUAUUUACACAAGUCCUGUAUUUGGAUGCAUCAACUAACAACCGUGCCAGUACAGCAUUCUCCUUUUUCUUUGAGGUCACCCAGCUCCAUGGUGUUCCAUCAAGGGUUCGUGGAGAUCAAGGAGUUGAAAAUUUGGACAUCGCCUACUUCAUGUUUGCGAGACGAGGAACCGGCCGAGCUAGCUUUAUCUUGGGAAAAAGUGUACACAAUCAAAGAAUGGAACGGAUGUGGCGAGACGUGUGGAUGGCUGUCACCUGCAUAUUUUAUGAUGUGCUUCACACACUGGAGGAAGAUGGUUUCCUGGAUAUUUCCAACA